rnacentral:rRNA from 1 species
AUUGAACGCUGGCGGCAUGCCUUACACAUGCAAGUCGAACGGCAGCACGGGAGCAAUCCUGGUGGCGAGUGGCGAACGGGUGAGUAAUAUAUCGGAACGUGCCCGGUCGUGGGGGAUAACGUAGCGAAAGCUACGCUAAUACCGCAUACGAUCUACGGAUGAAAGCGGGGGACUCGCAAGAGCCUCGCGCGAUUGGAGCGGCCGAUAUCAGAUUAGGUAGUUGGUGGGGUAAAGGCUCACCAAGCCAACGAUCUGUAGCUGGUCUGAGAGGACGACCAGCCACACUGGGACUGAGACACGGCCCAGACUCCUACGGGAGGCAGCAGUGGGGAAUUUUGGACAAUGGGCGCAAGCCUGAUCCAGCAAUGCCGCGUGCAGGAUGAAGGCCU